GGUUGGAGAGAUGGCCGAGAGG
rnacentral:tRNA from 1 species